rnacentral:misc_RNA from 1 species
UGGUAGGAGGAAUAAAGAAAAUGUUAAAGCAUUUGGGUAACUAUUCAGUCAUCUUUUCCUUUGCCUUUGCCUUCAGAAGCUCUAGAUUCAUCAUAGGCUGAAAGGAAGAAAGUACUUUGAUUCUUCUGCAGAAAUUUGAGAAAGUCAAGUAGUUUCUGCUGCAUGCGAGUUAAUGUCUCCUCUUCAAUGUUCACAUAUGCCAAUAGCUCAGGUAACUUGACAAAGAGACGUAGUAAAUGUUCAG